rnacentral:lncRNA from 1 species
GCUACACAGUGGGUGGUUUGGAGACCUUCGACAGCCUCACGGACCUGGUGGAGCAUUUCAAGAAGACGGGGAUUGAGGAGGCCUCAGGCGCCUUUGUCUACCUGCGGCAGCCGUACUACGCCACGAGGGUGAAUGCGGCUGACAUUGAGAACCGAGUAUUGGAACUGAACAAGAAGCAGGAGUCCGAGGAUACAGCCAAGGCUGGCUUCUGGGAGGAGUUUGAGAGUUUGCAGAAGCAGGAGGUGAAGAACUUGCACCAGCGUCUGGAAGGGCAGCGGCCAGAGAACAAGGGCAAGAACCGCUACAAGAACAUUCUCCCCUG